rnacentral:rRNA from 1 species
CCUACGGGUGGCAGCAGUGAGGAAUAUUGGUCAAUGGACGAGAGUCUGAACCAGCCAAGUAGCGUGAAGGAUGACUGCCCUAUGGGUUGUAAACUUCUUUUAUAUGGGAAUAAAACGUUCCACGUGUGGGAUUUUGUAUGUACCAUAUGAAUAAGGAUCGGCUAACUCCGUGCCAGCAGCCGCGGUAAUACGGAGGAUCCGAGCGUUAUCCGGAUUUAUUGGGUUUAAAGGGAGCGUAGGUGGAUUGUUAAGUCAGUUGUGAAAGUUUGCGGCUCAACCGUAAAAUUGCAGUUGAAACUGGCAGUCUUGAGUACAGUAGAGGUGGGCGGAAUUCGUGGUGUAGCGGUGAAAUGCUUAGAUAUCACGAAGAACUCCGAUUGCGAAGGCAGUUCACUGGACUGCAACUGACACUGAGGCUCGAAGGUGUGGGUAUCAAACAGGAUUAGAUACCCCAGUAGUC